CGUUCCCAUAAUGAUGAUGAAGAUCUGUGUCAUCCUCCUUCUGUUUGUUGCCUCUGGCAACGGACAGGCAACGACCACGGCUGCACCUACCACCACGACCACGGCUGCACCUACAACCACCACCACGGCUGCACCUACAACUACCACCACAGCUGCUCCCACAACAACCACCACAGCUGCGCCUACAACGACGACCACGGCUGCACCUACAACCACGACCACGGCUGCACCUACAACCACGACCACGGCUGCGCCUACAACAACAACCACAGCUGCACCUACAACCACGACCACGGCUGCGCCUGCAACGACAACCACAGCUGCACCUACAAC